rnacentral:lncRNA from 1 species
GGGCAUUAAUGAAAUUUACUCCGUCCUGGUAGUCGAAGUCGAACUCAAAAAACCCUAACGACUGGAUCGAGCUUUCACCGCCAUUACUAUAUAUAGCACUUCAACACUAAAACCCUAGUCGCAAAUGCUUCGUCUGCUUUCAUUCAACGUAUACGGCCGCCUUCUAUUUUGUCGUCGGCAAUUAAUUUUCUUCUCCGGUGCUUGUAUGCCAAAAUUUAAAGAUUUACGUUUGCUAAUUUUGCCUAUUUGCUUAGUUCUAGUGUUCUACACUCUCACAUUUGGUUAUACCUUGAUUAUUAGUACUUUUUAUUUCCAUGCGUGAUUUGCUCUUCUGGCUUGGUAACCUGUGUUGCACACUACGUUUUGGGGGUUGUACCUUUGCUUACUGUGCGUAUUUAUUUAGUUCCUGUUGUGCUUGUUAUGGAUAUGAAUACCCCUUUAUUGGCGAGUUUCUCUGUUGUACAUUGAUCUUUAAAUGUUUUGCCUUUCGAAUUAUGUUCAAGUUCCCACUUUUUUCAUUUUUUGGGUGCUCUGAUGAUUUCUUCAAUGCUCCAGAGUUUGUACAUUUCAAAGAUCAUACCUUGCUAAUUAGGGCCAUAUAUCCAAAUCUGUUUACUUGUUUUAUGCAUUGGUUAAUUUGUUUCUGUAAUUAUCACUUGUUCAGAGGUUGCAACUUGCUUAAUUUCCAUUUAUCCCUAUUUAAGUGUUUUCUUGUGACCGAUUAGCAAACCAGGUAAGCUUUAACAUUUAUGUUAAACAUGCUGGAUUUUAUAUUACUUAGGGGUGUUUUCUUGGUAAUUAUUGGUGAUCAAUUAGCCAGUCACAUUAAACAAUUCGAUGUGUGAAUGGUCAGUAACUCACCUAUAUUAGCUCGUGUCUAAUGGCCUGUAAUUCGUGAAUUGUAUACAUAUUCAUACUUGUAUAUGUAUGAUAUGUUUUCACUUUUCAUAUUGGCCAUUGACACUACAUUUCAUCUAUCAUUAAUGCCCAUAUAUCGGAAAUGAUCUCCUAAGCAUCGGUGUAUAGCUUAUGUUAAGCACCGAUGACAUCACACAUCAUUUAAUUGUUGAAUCAUUCAUUCUUGAUGUAUAUGUAUGAUUUUGACCAAAGGAUACUGUCGCAUGUUUGCUCGGUAUUUCUUGUUCAUAUAUAUCUGAAUGCAUUAACUAUAAUGGGUUUACCGAGCUACAACAAGAUAAGCCUUGUGCUUCAGACCCCAUUUGAGAUUCAUUCGGUUUAAAAAGUAAUCAUUCAAUUGGGAAAGGAAAAGGUUGGAGAAAAAUCGUUCGCUGACGCAAUUGUGCGCCCAAAAUACACGCAGGUGUGUGGGGAAAUAAAAAAUAAAAGUAUAUGUUUAGUGGAUUAUCACAUUCUCUGAAACAUGAGCAACUUAUACAACAGUGAAAUAGCUUUGAUCUGUGCAAAUGGUCAGUAAGUACACCUAUUUCAUUAUGUUAGCAGCAUAAAUUCACAGAGAUUGCUAGUUCCUUGAUGAGGCUAUUGCCUACAUUUGGCUUAAAUAUGCCAUUGCAUUUGUUCUCAAUGAUUUUAUUCUUGCCCAGUUGGAACAUGUCUAUUUUUUUUCCAUAAUUUUAAAUUUUGGAUGUCAUUUAAUUUCUUACAGAAUUAUUGUAUGAGAUUCUCCUUUUAAGAUUAAAAAAUCAACGCUUGAGAUUUGGUUAAGAUUGAGUCACUCUUUUGACAUCAGUGCUUUAUUUUGUCCACCGGAUGCUUGUCAUAAUGCAUGUCAUAAAAGUCAAAUGGUGGUGUAUAUAUUUAGAAAAUUAAGUAGUUUGAUUCUAAUGGAGGGAUUGAUUUCUCAGUAUUUACAGGUCUACGGUGAUCAUAUAUACGUUUAUUGAUGUAGAUGAUCUUGCUUAUGAACCUAGCUUAAUGGGGACAAUGAAGGCUUCUAAUCAGAUGCUCUGCCUUUUGUUGUGUUAGAGUUGGUUCUGUGUCCUUUAUAAAUGAUAACUGCAAUUUGUGCAUUUAUUUGUGCCAUAUUAUUAAAUUUUUAUAUCGUCAAAUUAUUAAAUUUUGCUUAACUUGGGUUAAUUUUUGUUUGUUUUAGUAUUUGACCCGUUUUGAAGCAAUUGAAAAGAAAAGAAGG